GCAGCGUCGGAGGUGUUUACGCUAAAAUUUGCUGCCUCGGCACUCUUCCCGCCAGCCAGCCGGGGAUUAAAUUUCAGCUGACGCAGCAUGCACAGAACCCCGUAUAUAAGAUCUUCCACGUUAAAUACAAUUCCGGAAAACAAAUCAGUGUAAUUUAAAACGUGAUAAACACUAAGAAUAACAGUAAUAUAUAUAAAUAUGACGAAAUAAACAUUAAUAGUUUGUAAAGUGUUCGAUCAGCGGCAACUCUCCCGCACGUUCCUCCGCCGCCUGCUGCAUGUGCUUACCCGCCACGGAUAAUGUGAAUGACAAAGACAACAGCUUCAAACAGUGGGAUCCCUGCAAUGAACAUUAGUGUAUCAUUUGAUGGCACAUACGUCAUUCUACGCAUCAGCUGUUCUCUGGAGCUGCAGAAUACAAUUUCCACCAUAAUUAACUACAUAUCCCAAGGGUGUGAAUGCCAUAAUCCUUGGUGUAGCUGUACUUGCCCUUGCUUCUGUACCUGCCUGCCAUUCUGGUUUCAAGUAAACGAGUUUUUUUAAGAUGUCAUUUGUAGUUGUGGAGUUUCUGGA
rnacentral:lncRNA from 1 species